rnacentral:tRNA from 1 species
AAGAAAAUGGCAGAGCGGUAUGUGGUCGGCUUGAAACCGUCCUAGGGGGGUUCGACUCCCUCUUUUCUCG